UAACAAGGAUUCCCCCAGUAACGGCGAGUGAAGCGGGAACAGCUCAAAUUUGAAAUCUCCGUUGCUUGCAACGGCGAAUUGUAGUUUCGAGAAACACUUUCUAGGCGGAAUCGGCUCUGUCUAAGUUGCUUGGAACAGCACGUCAUAGAGGGUGACAACCCCGUCUGUGACGGAGCCGACCGCUCAUCGAUGUGUUUUCGAAGAGUCGGGUUGUUUGGGAAUGCAGCCCAAAAUGGGUGGUAAACUCCAUCUAAAGCUAAAUAUAGGCACGAGACCGAUAGCGAACAAGUACCGUGAGGGAAAGAUGAAAAGAACUUUGAAAAGAGAGUUAAAAAGUACGUGAAACCGUUAAAAGGGAAACGAAUGGAGUUAGCAAUGCACUCUGUAAGAUUCAGCCGGCUGGUGGCUCGGACGGGCAGUUUGCGGAUCUGAAUGGACUGCUGCUGUUCGGCUCGUGCUCCCGACCGUCGCACUUCUUGCGGGUGCGCGUCAACAUCGGUUCGGACUGGGUUUUAAAGRCGUAGGGAAGGUAGGUCGAACGUCUCGGCGCUCUUCUAUUAUAGCCCUUCGUUUUAUGGCUCGGUCCGGACCGAGGAGCCGCAGCGCAUGCCUCUUCUGGCUAGUUUUCUGUAGCGCCGGUCGGUUGUCGAUCGUGGUGGACUGCUUGCAGUGCGCCCAAACUGCUGCCGGUCGCCGUUGCGGUAACUUCAUACCAUGCGCUCAGGAUGUUGGCGGUCAUAUGGCUUCAUCCGACCCGUCUUGAAACACGGACCAAGGAGUCUAACAUGUGCGCGAGUCUUAGGGUGAUUGAAACCCCAAGGCAGAAUGAAAGUGAAGGCAGCCUAGCUGCUGAGGUGAGAACCUCUCCUCCGGGAGUGGCGCAUCAUUGACCGAUCUAUUCUACUCUUAGGAAGAUUUGAGUAAGAGCGCAUCUGUUGGGACCCGAAAGAUGGUGAACUAUGCCUGAAUAGGGUGAGGCCAGAGGAAACUCUGGUGGAGGCUCGUAGCGAUUCUGACGUGCAAAUCGAUCGUCAAAUUUGGGUAUAGGGGCGAAAGACUAAUCGAACUGUCUAGUAGCUGGUUCCCUCCGAAGUUUCCCUCAGGAUAGCUGGAACUCAUAGCAGUUUUAUCAGGUAAAGCGAAUGAUUAGAGGUCUUAGGGUUAAAACAACCUUAACCUAUUCUCAAACUUUAAAUUGGUAAGAAGUCCGACUUGCUUAAUUGAAGCCGGACAGUGAAUGCGAGUUCCUAGUGGGCCAUUUUUGGUAAGCAGAACUGGCGAUGCGGGAUGAACCGAACGCUGAGUUAAGGUGCCUAAGUCGACGCUCAUCAGACCCCACAAAAGGUGUUGGUUGCUAUAGACAGCAGGACGGUGGCCAUGGAAGUCGGAAUCCGCUAAGGAGUGUGUAACAACUCACCUGCCGAAGCAACUAGCCCUGAAAAUGGAUGGCGCUCAAGCGUCGCACCUAUACUCGGCCGUCAGAGUAAAUGCGAAGCUCUGACGAGUAGGAGGGCGUGGUGGUCGUGACGCAGCCUCUGGCGCGAGCCUGGGUGAAACGGCCUCCAGUGCAGAUCUUGGUGGUAGUAGCAAAUAUUCAAAUGAGAGCUUU
rnacentral:rRNA from 1 species